UACUGGAACGUAGGGUGGAAAUUUCUUCAUCCUAAAGUGGAUCUUUAUUUUUGCCAACUAGUCAAAAUAUGAGGUGAGUUUUAAUUGGAACCACCGAAUUCAUAUCCAAACACGUCUAUGCGUGUGUGAAAAUUUUGAAAAUAAUGCAUGUCUACCUAGUACCACUCCCGUCCAUAUAGUGUGAUACACGACCAAUUGAGUCUAAUAGCCUGUUUGGUCAAGCUUAUUUUCUUCAAUUUUUUUUUCAAUAAGUGCUUAUUUGAAAAAAAAUGAGUUGUUUGGCCAAGCUUUUGAAGAAAAAUAAGUACUUUUGAGGAGUAGCAGAAACAGUUUUUCAGAAGCUAAAAAAAAUAACUUUUCCAAAAGCAGAAGCAGUUUUUAAUUUUUUUCUUGGCAAUAAUACCCUUAGGAAAAGAAGUUAUAUACCUUAAUAACCCUACUUAAUUAAAUCCAGUAAUAAAUAUGAUAUUCUACAACUUAUUCGUUCCCCAAUGGUUCGACGUCAAUACCCUUCAACCAAGCCUUGAAUGUCAACAACAAUUCAUUUUUCACAAGGGGAAGAAGAAAUGGGAGAGGGGAUUACAACGUGGGAUUCGAACCCUCACUAACAAGGUGAAAGUUCAGGCUGGGCUGACACAGGAGGAGGUUUUGUUGGGCUUUCAGCCCAACGCCACGCGCGGGAGGAGAUAACGAGUCGUUUGGACUCGUACGCGAGAUGUCAUGCAUAAAACGAAAAGGAAAGGAUUAAUACAUAACCAAUAAAUAAGACUAAACAUGUAUAGUGUAAAUGAUUCGUGUAUAUAUGGUGUAUAUUUAGGUAUAUCCAGUAUAUACAUGCACACAUAUAAUGGAUAGCUACAUGCUUGCGAUGUAAGAGCGUAAAAAAGGGACAAGCAGACACGAGAUGUUUUGUAGAUUCGUCUCUAUAUAGCUAAAUCCUUUACGCAGCAGUUCAAUAUGGCAGAGGACAUUAAUUUAGUAUUCCAUACCAUAUUCACUAGGUAAAACAAUCCAUUAACCAUUUAACAAUUUUAGUUAAUAGUGAACUACUUUAACGGACACAUUAACAGCUUCCGAACAGACAGUAUGGAUAAGGAGAACUUCAAUGAGUGCAGCAGGAAUCAUUUCAACACACAGGACACCAUGACAAUACGACAUAGCAGUGGGCGUAUCUAAAGGGAGGCAACUGAAGAAAAAAAAUAAUACAACAGACGAAAGCGGCGUAUCACAGUUUAGUGUUCUGCAAUCCGGAUAAUCAGUGUUUCUCCAUAUACACAUGUUGGAUCCUUUUCAACAAUUAGGCAGAAUGGGGGAGCUGUCCAAUACAGGCUACUAAUACAGGGGCAGAAGAUAGCAAUUCUGGGCUAAAUAAAAUACUUACUAAGUGUGGCAAUUCAUGACUUAAUGAUUAAAACAGAGAACUGCUAUAUUUAUUUGGGAUGAAAUACAGCAAAGGGAAGGCUAUUGACAUUGCCGAAUACCUGGUCUGUGGAUACUACUAAAGAAUCAUAAAUUGCUAAACAUAUACAUUUGACAUUUAAGAACGACAAGGAAACUGGGACAAGCACCUAUAUAAACUGAACAACUAUGGUCAGUACCUAAUGAAUUACAGACCAUUACAUGUUGCAAGUGUGUUUACUAGCACAUAAAACUUGGCUGUUUAAUAGCAGAGUGCAAGCAGAUCUAAGUAUACG